AACGUAGGAGGCAAGCGUUAUCCGGAGUUACUGGGCGUAAAGAGUGCGUAGGCGGACGUGUAAGUGGGUGGUGAAAGCGCCCGGCUAAACCGGGCGAGGUCCAUUCAGACUGCAGGUCUAGAGGCGGAUAGAGGGGUGCGGAAUUCCGGGUGUAGCGGUGAAAUGUGUAGAGAUCCGGAGGAACACCAGUGGUGAAAACGGCGCCCUGGGUCGGAACUGACGCUGAAGCACGAAAGCGUGGGGAGCGAACGGG
rnacentral:rRNA from 1 species